AUGAAGAGAAGAAACGGGUCAAAAAGAUGGGCUAGGGUUUUCCAGACUCCAGUCUUCGCGCGCCUCCACGAUCUGCCGCGCCGCUUCCUUUUCAGACCGCCGUCCGUCUGUCCACUGGCAACUCACGCACACCGCACACGGUAAGCCCUCUCUUUCAGCUGGCCUGCAGCAUCUACAGUCCUCGAACAAUGCGGUUCCUCCAGCUCAGGAUUUUGGAUAUUACAAUGGAGGCGGUCAGGGUUCGAGAAUGUACAAGAGUGUGCAGGCGCAAAGAACGUACAGUGGAGGCGAUUUGUUUGCGGAGCCGUUGACGCUGCCAGGGCAUUCACGGGAAGAAUGGCGAGGAGCUGGUUUGGCCAAAUGAGAGUAGCCCGGGGCUAUUGGAUCUGCAUUCGUUUGACACUGAGCUACUUCCGGAGCUAACUGGAAGAUCAGGGAAGCAUCUUUUCCUUACGGAUAAUGAUGGUGGGAAACUUCCACUCCUGCUUCAGAUGGUCAAUGACUCUGCUGACCUUCAUUUCAUAUCAGCAUUACGAUCUUUCAACCACCGUGUGGUAUAUGCCAACGCAAACUAUGACCAUGUGGUGGGAUGGAGAACUUCAUCAAUCCGCCGUCAAAACGAACUACCAAAGGAAAGUCUUCAUGUGAAUGAUAUGAAGUAUCCUCACAUCGUCCAUGUAGAACAGGGAAUAACUGAAGAUGUAAACAAUAAAGUAUCCUCUGCUGUUGGAACACAGGUUAUUGACUUGGAAGAUAUGAUUGCCAAUCCUGAGGUAGCUGAUGUAUUUAGGAAAAGAGCUAAGAUAAUAUCAGAAAUACGGAAGACAGUAGAAUCUGCUGGUUUUAUUGAAGUUGAAACUCCAGUUCUGCAGGGCGCAGCUGGUGGUGCUGAAGCUAGGCCUUUCAUUACAUACCAUAACUCUCUUGGGCAAGAUAUGUAUCUACGAAUCGCAACUGAGCUCCAUUUAAAGAGAAUGCUGGUGAGGUUGGUGGAUUUGAAAAAGUAUAUGAAAUAGGAAGGAUUUUCCGGAAUGAAGGCCUUUCAACUCGUCAUAAUCCUGAAUUCACCACCAUUUGAGUACUUUCAUGAGGAAGAAGGAUUUCAGGAAAGAGCAACUAGUUCUUGAGGACUUAGUGCUAGAAUACGUAGUAUGAUAGAUUUUUGUUUUAGCUAUAAGGUAGUUGGUAUUUUCAAUUUUGAAUCGGAAUAUGCAAUGAUGAUGUAUACUUGAUAUUUGGUUCAUUUGUAUAAUAAUGUAUGAAUUUUUU